GCCUUGGUGCUGCAGCGGUAGCACGUACGACCAGUGAAGGCGAAAGGCGGGUUCGAUUCCCAGCUGAGGACG